rnacentral:rRNA from 1 species
ACCCCCUAUGAUGACGGUACCGUUUGUAAGCUCCGGCUAACUCCGUGCCAGCAGCCGCGGUAAUACGGGGGGAGCAAGCGUUGUUCGGAUUUACUGGGCGUAAAGGGCGCGUAGGCGGCCAGCACAAGUCAGUUGUGAAAUCUCCGAGCUUAACUCGGAAAGGUCAACUGAUACUGUGCGGCUAGAGUGCGGAAGGGGCAACUGGAAUUCUUGGUGUAGCGGUGAAAUGCGUAGAUAUCAAGAGGAACACCUGCGGCGAAGGCGGGUUGCUGGGCCGACACUGACGCUGAGGCGCGAAAGCUAGGGGAGCGAACGGGAUUAGAUACCCCGGUAGUCCUAGCCUUAAACGAUGAAUGCUUGGUGUCUGGGGUUAUAAAGUCCCCGGGUGCCGUCGCUAACGCUUUAAGCAUUCCGCCUGGGGAGUACGGUCGCAAGACUGAAACUCAAAGGAAUUGACGGA